GACAGAGGGGGCAAGCGUUGCUCGGAAUUACUGGGCGUAAAGGGCGCGUAGGCGGCCACCGCAAGUCGGUUGUGAAAUCUCCGGGCUUAACCCGGAAAGGUCAAUCGAUACUGCGGGGCUAGAGUGCAGAAGGGGCAACUGGAAUUCUCGGUGUAGCGGUGAAAUGCGUAGAUAUCGAGAGGAACACUUGCGGCGAAGGCGGGUUGCUGGGCUGACACUGACGCUGAAGCGCGAAAGCUAGGGGAGCGAACGGG
rnacentral:rRNA from 1 species